rnacentral:rRNA from 1 species
UACGGGGGGGGCAAGCGUUGUUCGGAAUUAUUGGGCGUAAAGGGCUCGUAGGCGGUCCGUCGCGUCGGGAGUGAAAACUCAGGGCUUAACCCUGAGCCUGCUUCCGAUACGGGCAGACUAGAGGUAUGCAGGGGAGAACGGAAUUCCUGGUGUAGCGGUGAAAUGCGCAGAUAUCAGGAGGAACACCGGUGGCGAAGGCGGUUCUCUGGGCAUUACCUGACGCUGAGGAGCGAAAGUGUGGGGAGCGAACAGG